AAAUUAAUUUUUACAUAAAUUUUGUUCAACGAAAAAGUCAUUGUUAUCUUAAAACUAGUUACGGGCAAACAAAAUCUAAAAAUCAUAAUCUAAAAAUCAGAACAAACAAACCGACCCUCCCUAGAGCAAGUGGCAAAGUGCUUGGUGGUUGGUACCCGAGACCCAAGUUCGAAUCCUAGUUGAUUCAUAUUUUUAGCUAAGUUUAUUUCUAAAUGAAAUAAACAAAGCGGGUAGCGUGUUAUUUAUCUCUCAAAAAAAAAAAAAAAAAAAUCAGAACAAACA
rnacentral:lncRNA from 1 species